AUUGAACGCUGGCGGCAUGCCUAACACAUGCAAGUCGAACGGCAGCACGGUUGAGUACUUGUACUUAAUGGGUGGCGAGUGGCGAACGGGUGAGUAAUGCGCAGGAAUAUGCCUUAAAGAGGGGGAUAACUUGGGGAAACUCAAGCUAAUACCGCAUAAGCUCUGAGGAGUAAAGCUGGGGACCUUCGGGCCUGGCGCUUUAAGAAUAGCCUGCGUCCGAUUAGCUAGUUGGUAGGGUAAAGGCCUACCAAGGCGACGAUCGGUAGCUGGUCUGAGAGGAGGAACAGCCACACUGGGACUGAGACACGGCCCAGACUCCUACGAGAGGCAGCAGUGGGGAAUAUUGGACAAUGGGGGCAACCCUGAUCCAGCAAUGCCGCGUGUGUGAAGAAGGCCUGAGGGUUGUAAAGCACUUUCAGUGGGGAGGAGGAUUGAUUGGUUAAGAGCUGAUUAAUUGGACGUUACCUACAGAAGAAGCACCGGCUAACUCCGUGCCAGCCGCCGCAGUAA
rnacentral:rRNA from 1 species